UACGUAGGGGGCUAGCGUUGUUCGGAUUUACUGGGCGUAAAGCGCACGUAGGCGGUUCGAUCAGUCAGGGGUGAAAUCCCAGAGCUCAACUCUGGAACUGCCUUUGAUACUGUCGAUCUGGAGUAUGGAAGAGGUGAGUGGAAUUCCGAGUGUAGAGGUGAAAUUCGUAGAUAUUCGGAGGAACACCAGUGGCGAAGGCGGCAUCCUGGACCGGUACUGACGCUGAGGCGCGAAAGCGUGGGGAGCAAACAGG
rnacentral:rRNA from 1 species